AUUGAACGCUGGCGGCAGGCCUAACACAUGCAAGUCGAGCGAGCGGCGGACGGGUGAGUAAUGUCUGGGAAACUGCCUGAUGGAGGGGGAUAACUACUGGAAACGGUAGCUAAUACCGCAUACCAUCAGAUGUGCCCAGAUGGGAUUAGCUAGAAGGUGGGGUAAUGGCUCACCUAGGCGACGAUCCCUAGCUGGUCUGAGAGGAGGACCAGCCACACGGGAACUGAGACACGGUACAGACUCCUACGGGAGGCAGCAGUGGGGAAUAUUGCACAAUGGGCGCAAGCCUGAUGCAGCCAUGCCGCGUGUAUGAAGAAUGCCUUCGGGUUGUAAAGUACUUUCAGCGAGGAGGCGUUACCCGCAGAAGAAGCACCGGCUAACGCCGAGCCAGCAGCCGCGGUAAUUC
rnacentral:rRNA from 1 species